UCCCAUAUAGUCCAGUGGUUAGGAUACUCCGCUUUCAAUCACUUUAUUGAACAAAUACCGGAGAGACCCGAGUUCGAACCUCGGUGUGGGAA
rnacentral:tRNA from 1 species